rnacentral:antisense_RNA from 1 species
AUCUUCCCUCUGUCUUGUUCCUAAGCGCACAGGGCUCCUCCGGCCCCGCCGAGCUGCGCCCGCUGCCUUCACACCCCGGACAUCCGCGCCACACGGACCCAGACCCCAGGAGGCCUCACCCCAGAGCAAGAGAAAGACCACCAACAUGGACAUGAUGGUCGCGCUCACUCCGGUGCAGUGAGUAUCUGGGUGCUGGAUCCUGGAUCCUGUUCUAGAAGGAGACGCUGAGUUCUCCGCACUCUACCUGGAGCUGCUGAGGUCAAGUGGAGAGUGCCAGGGCUGCAGCCCAGCGAGCCCCUCCCUGUCACACCACACUGCACAUGUGACACCAAAGGCGGGGUUCACCUCUUUUCAGACUUUCUGUGGUUGCCCUCACAUGGGCUGUCUGGAGGUGCACCUCACUCUUCUUGAGGACCAUGGUUCCUUCUCCAUCACUGGUUCAUUCUGUAUGGUGUGACCCACCAUGGCUCUGGAGUCGGAUUUCCACCCAGGUCAUUCAGCUGAGACCUGCGCUUCCCAGGCCUACCCGUGACAUGUGAUCAGUUACCUGAGCUGCUGGUGGUCACUCAUGUGGCUGUAGCCUGCUGCCUGGAGGCCAGGCCUCCCGCUUCCCCUGCCUCCCCCUCUCCUCACCACAGCCUGUUGGGAUGGAACAGGACAGGGGUGAGACCGUGGUGCUUUCACACUCAGCCUCCAUGGACAUCUUGUCAUUCCCACCCCGGGAGGUCUGGUCCCCACCCUGGGUGUCCCAGCCUAGCUCUGCUACGACUGUGAGGGCCCAGGGCAACCGCCUAGCCCUCAUCUGCCUCCUGCACUGCAUCCUCCCCACUCAUUCAUUCCACAGGCAUUUAUUGAGCAUCUACUGUGUGCCAGAUGCAAAGAAGACAGUGGGAUAACUGCGCAAGGAGCAUUCCGGGCAGAGGGAGCAGCCAGUGCAAAGAUGGGAGAUGGGGUUUCAGUGAGAAGGAGCAGAGA